rnacentral:tRNA from 1 species
GGCCGCUGCGGCAAGACACGGCUGGUGAAACCAUCGUGGCGCGCAGACUGUAAAUCUGCCGGCUCAGCCUUCCCAGGUUCGAAUCCUGGCGCCGCCA